rnacentral:sRNA from 14 species
UGGACAGCACUAGAAAAUGAAGACUUCUGUUUGCCCACAGCACAGGAGGAGCGGCACUGCAAGCCUCUGCACUUUGCCAUGUCAGCUCUCUCCAGCCCUGUUUUAACAGAAUCACAUAAGGAGUGGGAGGACGUCUGUACCCCUUCACACUUUGGCAAAG